GACGAACGCUGGCGGCGUGCCUAAUACAUGCAAGUAGAACGCUGAAGAGAGGAGCUUGCUCUUCUUGGAUGAGUUGCGAACGGGUGAGUAACGCGUAGGUAACCUGCCUUGUAGCGGGGGAUAACUAUUGGAAACGAUAGCUAAUACCGCAUAACAAUGGAUGACACAUGUCAUUUAUUUGAAAGGGGCAAUUGCUCCACUACAAGAUGGACCUGCGUUGUAUUAGCUAGUAGGUGAGGUAACGGCUCACCUAGGCGACGAUACAUAGCCGACCUGAGAGGGUGAUCGGCCACACUGGGACUGAGACACGGCCCAGACUCCUACGGGAGGCAGCAGUAGGGAAUCUUCGGCAAUGGGGGCAACCCUGACCGAGCAACGCCGCGUGAGUGAAGAAGGUUUUCGGAUCGUAAAGCUCUGUUGUAAGUCAAGAACGAGUGUGAGAGUGGAAAGUUCACACUGUGACGGUAGCUUACCAGAAAGGGACGGCUAAC
rnacentral:rRNA from 1 species